rnacentral:rRNA from 1 species
UACAGAGGCCCCAAGCGUUGUUCGGAUUCACUGGGCGUAAAGGGUGCGUAGGUGGUGAGGUAAGUCGGAUGUGAAAUCUCCGAGCUCAACUCGGAAAUGGCAUUGGAAACUACCUUGCUUGAGGGUUGGAGGGGGGACUGGAAUACUUGGUGUAGCAGUGAAAUGCGUAGAUAUCAAGUGGAACACCAGUGGCGAAGGCGAGUCCCUGGACAACUCCUGACACUGAGGCACGAAAGCUAGGGGAGCAAACAGG